AUGAAAAUAGGCAUACUUUCUCCCAGUGACCUUUUGGCUCAUGCCUGGAUAGGAAUCUUGGGUAUUUACUGGCCAUGUGACUUGGGGGACAAGUUUCUUAGCCCCGCCCCCCCCCUGAGUUUCUGUUUUCCAUCUGAAAAUGGGAACAGGAGAUUGAAUGGGAAAGGGUGUAAAGCAAAACUCAAGAACCUGGUUCAUGGUAGAUGUUCAAAGGUUGGAGUGGCCUUUACACACCUCACACUCCCCACUGUUGUGUGUCCUCAGACUCAGUCUCUCUCCCUCCCUGGCCUCUACCGAAUGCAGUGGGCCCUCCUUCACUCUGCUGCACGCCCCCCCCCCCACCAGUCAUGCUGCACAUCUCUGCAAGACUGGCAGUAUUCUGUCCCAGGACUGCAGCUACCGUCAGGAGGCUCAGCCUGCCCCAUCAGCAAGCAUCCUGGCCCUGUCUGCUCAUCAGCCUCCAACAUCUGGAUGAAACCCUACUUGAAAGAAAGUGCUGCAGUGUUGAGAGCUUGCUCUACCUGGAACAAUGAAGGCAGAUGCAGCUUGUUUUAAGAAAUUCUUCAACAGGAAUUAGGCAGGUCAAGAACUGUGAAGAAACCCAUCAGGAAUGGCAGUGUGUAAUAAGGGACAAAGGAGUUGGGAUUUGAUCCAGAUCUUCUGUCUCCAAGCACAGUCUUCAUUCUGUGGCACACAGUAGCCAACUUCAGGACACCGGUUCUGAUUGCAUGACUACAGAGAUUCAAGAGGCUCAAAAUGAACCCUGCCACCGGUUUUCGAACCCUGUGAGUUCUUUCUUAGCCUGGGUCUCACCUUAUCCCAAAGGAAUGUUCUUGUGAUGAAGACAAGUUGAGAAGAAAGGCUGGCCCCAGCUCAUGCAUUACAGUCAAAACCAUUUGUUUUGUUAACCUCAUGUGAACAUUACAAAUGUGUGAUGGAGCAGAGGCCACAUCCUUCUAUAGAUUAGCAAUUUCUUGAGUCAACAUGGC
rnacentral:lncRNA from 1 species